GGGCGCAUAGCUCAGCGGUAGAGCAGUCGCCUCUUAAGCGAUUGGCCGAAGGUCCGAAUCCUUCUGCGCCCA
rnacentral:tRNA from 1 species